UACGGGGGGGGCAAGCGUUGUCCGGAAUUAUUGGGCGUAAAGAGCUCGUAGGCGGCUUGUCGCGUCGACUGUGAAAUCCCGCGGCUCAACUGCGGGUCUGCAGUCGAUACGGGCAGGCUAGAGUUCGGUAGGGGAGACUGGAAUUCCUGGUGUAGCGGUGAAAUGCGCAGAUAUCAGGAGGAACACCGGUGGCGAAGGCGGGUCUCUGGGCCGAUACUGACGCUGAGGAGCGAAAGCGUGGGGAGCGAACAGG
rnacentral:rRNA from 1 species